UUGCGUGACUUAGCUUGGGAAGAAAUUUCGCAAGUUUUAAGGAAGCCAAGUAAGAAUGAAAAUUUCUUUUCGUCCAGUAUUUAGGUAGGCUGUUGUAAAAACGGACUGGAAAAAACUGAGAGAUGCCCAUAGGAAGGCCCUCAAAAGAAGAGAGACAAAAAGUGGUCAAGCUGCAGCAAACUCAAAAAAGUGGAAGUACGAGAAAGAAAUGGAAUUUUUACUUUCCGUAUUGCCAGCUCACAGCCUACACGACAGUAAUAUUCCUGAUAUGGAUGACACGCAAGUUCCUGAAAAUCAAAUAAACGAUGAUAGCAUUGUUAAUGCUGAAGCUCCUGCUGCUCCUGAUGAUGAAUUUUCCAACUCUGAUCACGAUGUCAACACAGUCCGGAACAAACCCAAAGGAGUCGACAAAAUUCUGAAUUUUCUGAAAAAUAAAGAGAUAAACAAACCUGU